AUCUGAACUUUUCAAAUACGAAAAUCAACGUAGUAGGGACAUUUUAAGGCCUUUCUUUAGUGUGAAUUCUCAUAUGCCUGUUGAGAUCAAUCUUACGAAUGAAACUCUUUCCACAUUGAUCACAUUUGUAAGACUUUUAUCCAGUGUGAAGUCUCAUGUGCCUGUUGAGGUCGGGUUUACGAAUGAAGUUCUUUCCACACUGAUCACAUCUGUAAGGUUUUUCUCCAGUGUGAAGUCUCAUGUGAUUAAUAAGGCAAGACUUGCGAGUGAAUUUUUUUUCACACUGAUCACAUCUGUAAGGUCUUUCUCCAGUGUGAAUUCUCAUGUGAUUAUUAAGCAUAUGUUUAUAUGUAAAGGUCUUUCCACACUGGGGGCACAUAAGAGCAUCCUUGGCUGUUGAUUUUUUUCUUUUUUUU